rnacentral:rRNA from 1 species
ACUCCUACGGGAGGCAGCAGUGGGGAAUAUUGCACAAUGGGCGAAAGCCUGAUGCAGCGACGCCGCGUGAGGGAUGACGGCCUUCGGGUUGUAAACCUCUUUCAGCAGGGACGAAGCGAAAGUGACGGUACCUGUAGAAGAAGGACCGGCCAACUACGUGCCAGCAGCCGCGGUAAUACGUAGGGUCCAAGCGUUGUCCGGAAUUAUUGGGCGUAAAGAGCUCGUAGGCGGUUUGUCACGUCGGCUGUGAAAUCCCGAGGCUCAACCUCGGGCCUGCAGUCGAUACGGGCUAACUAGAGUGUGGCAGGGGAGAUUGGAAUUCCUGGUGUAGCGGUGAAAUGCGCAGAUAUCAGGAGGAACACCGGUGGCGAAGGCGGAUCUCUGGGCCAUAACUGACGCUGAGGAGCGAAAGCGUGGGGAGCGAACAGGAUUAGAUACCCUGGUAGUCCACGCCGUAAACGUUGGGCGCUAGGUGUGGGGACCAUUCCACGGUUUCCGUGCCGCAGCUAACGCAUUAAGCGCCCCGCCUGGGGAGUACGGCCGCAAGGCUAAAACUCAAAGGAAUUGACGGGGGCCCGCACAAGCGGCGGAGUAUGUUGCUUAAUUCGAUGCAACGCGAAGAACCUUACCAAGGCUUGACAUGCAGGGAAAUCUCACAGAGAUGUGAGGUCCGUAAGGGUCCUGCACAGGUGGUGCAUGGUUGUCGUCAGCUCGUGUCGUGAGAUGUUGGGUUAAGUCCCGCAACGAGCGCAACCCUCGUUCUAUGUUGCCAGCGCGUUAUGGCGGGGACUCAUAGGAGACUGCCGGGGUCAACUCGGA